rnacentral:rRNA from 1 species
CCUAACACAUGCAAGUCGAGCGGUAACACAAGGGAGCUUGCUCCUGAGGUGACGAGCGGCGGACGGGUGAGUAAUGCCUAGGUAUCUAGCCCAGUCGAGGGGGAUAACAGUUGGAAACGACUGCUAAUACCGCAUACGCCCUACGGGGGAAAGGAGGGGACCUUCGGGCCUUCCGCGAUUGGAUGAACCUAGGUGGGAUUAGCUAGUUGGUGAGGUAAUGGCUCACCAAGGCGACGAUCCCUAGCUGGUCUGAGAGGAUGAUCAGCCACACUGGAACUGAGACACGGUCCAGACUCCUACGGGAGGCAGCAGUGGGGAAUAUUGCACAAUGGGCGAAAGCCUGAUGCAGCCAUGCCGCGUGUGUGAAGAAGGCCUUCGGGUUGUAAAGCACUUUCAGCGAGGAGGAAAGGUUAAGUCUUAAUACGGCUUAGCUGUGACGUUACUCGCAGAAGAAGCACCGGCUAACUUCGUGCCAGCAGCCGCGGUAAUACGAGGGGUGCAAGCGUUAAUCGGAAUUACUGGGCGUAAAGCGUACGCAGGCGGUUUGUUAAGCAAGAUGUGAAAGCCCCGGGCUCAACCUGGGAACUGCAUUUUGAACUGGCAAACUANAGUCUUGUACAGGGGGGUAGAAUUUCAGGUGUANCGGUGAAAUGCCUUANAGAUCUGAA